GGGAAACCAAACGAGAGCGCGGGCGAUGGAGCGGAAGCUCAGCCUGGAGCAGCGAACGGAGCGUCUGGUGCAAAGGAGGAUUUAUCUGCGCCUGUCAGGGAAGCUCACCACACAGACCCUGUUCCCGAUUACCAUGAAAUUUUGAUGCACGCAACAUGCAGGAAUGUUUUUCCUGCAAUUUCCCUGGCUCCAAGAGGGACCACGGGAGUGGCACGAAAAAGUUGGGGGCCCUGUCCAUCCCCCACAUAGGCAAUUGCAGUUUUGAUUCAAAUUUUAAUUAAAGGCUGAACUGGUGCUGAUACUGCA